rnacentral:rRNA from 1 species
GACGAACGCUGGCGGCGUGCUUAACACAUGCAAGUCGAACGGAAAGGCCCUGCUUUUGUGGGGUGCUCGAGUGGCGAACGGGUGAGUAACACGUGAGUAACCUGCCCUUGACUUUGGGAUAACUUCAGGAAGCUGGGGCUAAUACCGGAUAGGAGCUCCUGCUGCAUGGUGGGGGUUGGAAAGUUUCGGCGGUUGGGGAUGGACUCGCGGCUUAUCAGCUUGUUGGUGGGGUAGUGGCUUACCAAGGCUUUGACGGGUAGCCGGCCUGAGAGGGUGACCGGCCACAUUGGGACUGAGAUACGGCCCAGCCUCCUACGGGAGGCAGCAGUGGGGAAUAUUGCACAAUGGGCGGAAGCCUGAUGCAGCAACGCCGCGUGCGGGAUGACGGCCUUCGGGUUGUAAACCGCUUUCGCCUGUGACGAAGCGUGAGUGACGGUAAUGGGUAAAGAAGCACCGGCUAACUACGUG